AGUAGGAAAUAGAUGUCUACCAUAAAUGAUACCUGCUGUCCUAUAUGUCAACUAAGUGCUCCUAUGUUUGGGGUCAGGAAGAGGUGAGAGGUACAGAACAAACAGCUUUAUUUGCUUGGUCUUUGGCAAGCAGAAGGGCAGUCUAUAACCUCUACUAGGAAUAUCUUCCAUUGAAACAGCCACUGUUUUGAGUGUAAGGGAAAAGGCCAUUCUAGGAGGCAGCAGGGCUUGGGGGGCAAGCCUGUGAAAGAGACAUCCAGUGUACAGUGAAGUGAGAAGGAGGUGUUGGUCACUAUCUUGGGUGCCAAGGUUGAUACAGAGAAAGAGGAAAAGAGGUGAUGGACUUUGCACCUGCAGGAACCGGUAGCAAGUUUCAACUGGUAACAGAAAAAGAAAAUCUGUUCAAGCCUUGCUUUCUGCUUAUGAACUUGGACUGAAGCCCAUGACCGACCUUCAUGAUCCCAAUGGCCUCUUCUGCUGCAUAAGCAGUUUUCUACAGGCCACUUUUCUAUGCAAAGGACCUUGAAGCAGCUUACAACAGCCAAGUAGCUCACAAUAAGAAACACUGAUUACAAUAUGAUGCAACCAAUUAUGAAACAAGUCUAAAAACUAAAAAGUGCAAUCACUAGGUAAAUUCAGCAGACCUCAGAAGAUCAGAAGGCAUGAUGGAACAGAGAGAGUUUUACUGAUUAUCUAAAAAUGUCAGCCAGCAAAACAGUAAACCAAACUCAUAAUGAGAGAACAGAUACUGUGCUUAUUGAAUAGGUACAAUGUUCAAUACAUAUAGCUGGAGGAUGUUUUGCUGUUCCAGUGCACAACAUGCAACUCUGUGUUCUACAAACUCUAGCCACUUCAAAGCAAACACUGAGUGCAGUGGUACGAACGACAUUUUGCUUUGCAUAUUGUAGGUCCCAGGUUCAAUCCCUGAUAUCUCCAGGUAGUGCUGGAAAAGACUCCUACCUGCAGCCCUGACGAGCUGCUGAACUGGGUGGCCCAAUAUUAUGGCUCAGUACAAAGCAGCUUCCUAUGUUCCAAGGGAUCUCCA